UACGUAGGGGGCAAGCGUUGUCCGGAAUCAUUGGGCGUAAAGCGCGUGUAGGCGGUUCGGUAAGUCUGCUGUGAAAGUCCAGGGCUCAACCCUGGGAUGCCGGUGGAUACUGUCGGACUAGAGUACGGAAGAGGCGAGUGGAAUUCCCGGUGUAGCGGUGAAAUGCGCAGAUAUCGGGAGGAACACCGGUGGCGAAGGCGGAUCUCUGGGCCUUACCUGACGCUCAGGCGCGAAGGCGUGGGGAGCGAACGGG
rnacentral:rRNA from 1 species